rnacentral:misc_RNA from 1 species
UCACAACAUACACCGUCAGAUUGACAUUCCAAUUGAAAUUUUCGCGAACAAUUCACUCAAUUGCGUCCUGGUGAAUUCUGUUGCAAGUCGCGGGGAAUAUCUACCAUUUUUGGCCGAGACCGCAGCACACGAACCAUCUUUGUGAACCGGUAAAGUGGAAGCAGAAGCGAAAUGUCCUUGAACACGGCUCACGCCAAUAAUGGCGUAUUAAUUCACGCUGGAGAAUACAUUCUAUUGUUCAGCGAUAAUGUCAGCAUGGAAUUUUCUGGUCAAGACAGUCCUGUCUUCAAGGGAUCCAAAACCGGAAAGAUAUACCUAACGACACAUCGCAUGAUCUUCAAUGCGAAACAUCAAAGUGAUCCUCUCCAAUCAUUCAGCUUUCCGUUUAUCUCCCUCAGCGAUGUGGACAUAGAGCAACCAACAUUCGGAUCAAAUUACAUCAAAGGCAAAGUUCGUGCUCAGCCUAAUGGCAAUUGGAUCGGCGAAGCGAAAUUCAAGUUGUACUUCAAAUCCGGUGGUGCGAUUGAUUUUGGACAGGCAAUGCUGCGGGCAGCUCGUAUGGCUCAACGUAACUUCAACAAUGAUGCUCCACCACCGUACACACCACCGACGGGUGGUUGGUAUCAGGCGCCUCCGCCAGCUUAUGCACCGAAUCCUCAAGGCUACUAUGGAUGGGUACCACCGACACAGGCAUUCCCGAAUGGACCACCACCAAAUACAGUCUUUAUGACUGAUAAUCCUCCACCAUAUCCAGGAAUAGUUCCGCACGCCUAUUACUAUACCGUCCGACCUUUCUAUGUCUUUCCUUUACCAGUGUUUUGCAUUUAAAAAUCUUUAUAAAUUUAUUUUGUGACCAAGGAGGAGGAAGCGGCUCAAAGUGCAUAUUACGACCCCAACCAACCACAAACUGCUUUCGUGCCGCCACCAGCAUAUUAUGAACCACCCCCAAGCUAUAAUUCCAUUGCUAAUAAGAAGGAUCAGUGAAUUG